AACUGACGCUGAGGCUCGAAAGUAUGGGUAGCAAACAGGACUUAGAUACCCUGGUAGUCCAUACCGUAAACGAUGAAUGCUAAGUGUUGGAGGGUUUCCGCCCUUCAGUGCUGCAGCUAACGCAUUAAGCAUUCCGCCUGGGGAGUACGGCCGCAAGGCUGAAACUCAAAGGAAUUGACGGGGGCCCGCACAAGCGGUGGAGCAUGUGGUUUAAUUCGAAGCUACGCGAAGAACCUUACCAGGUCUUGACAUACUAUGCAAAUCUAAGAGAUUAGACGUUCCCUUCGGGGACAUGGAUACAGGUGGUGCAUGGUUGUCGUCAGCUCGUGUCGUGAGAUGUUGGGUUAAGUCCCGCAACGAGCGCAACCCUUAUUAUCAGUUGCCAGCAUUAAGUUGGGCACUCUGGUGAGACUGCCGGUGACAAACCGGAGGAAGGUGGGGAUGACGUCAAAUCAUCAUGCCCCUUAUGACCUGGGCUACACACGUGCUACAAUGGAUGGUACAACGAGUUGCGAACUCGCGAGAGUAAGCUAAUCUCUUAAAGCCAUUCUCAGUUCGGAUUGUAGGCUGCAACUCGCCUACAUGAAGUCGGAAUCGCUAGUAAUCGCGGAUCAGCAUGCCGCGGUGAAUACGUUCCCGGGCCUUGUACACACCGCCCGUCACACCAUGAGAGUUUGUAACACCCAAAGUCGGUGGGGUAACCUUUUAGGAACCAGCCGCCUAAGGUGGGACAGAUGAUUAGGGUG
rnacentral:rRNA from 1 species